rnacentral:lncRNA from 1 species
GGCCAUCCACAAUCCAAUGGUGAAGGAAAGUAACAAACCGAACAAUCCUACAUGAUCCCAAGACCAGACUGAAUGAAGCUAAAGGCCUUUAGGUAAAAAAAUUAUAUCCGCUCUUAUGGGCAUAUCGGACAACUCUUCGUAUACCGAUAAGAGAAUCGCCAUUUAACCUGAUCUGUGGAAUGAAAGCGAUGAUUCCACUUGAGAUUGGAUUACCAUCAGUAAGAGUGGAACAAUAUAAUGAACCGAGCAAUUCAAAAUAUCAGAGAAUCAACUUAGACUUACUUUUGAAAGUCCGACAGCAAGU